rfam:Ciona savignyi cont_56748, whole genome shotgun sequence.
GAGAGCUCAUCUUUCCGGUAUUCGAUCGCUACGUAUAGGCUGAUCUGCUUUGAUAGGUGACACCCACUCUCCCGAUGCCAUGCGCUCGGUCGAGAGGAGAAUGGAUCCCUCGGAUGCUAGGCGUGGAUUAGAGAUUAAAGUAGGAGUAUUCGCCCCCACUUAAUUCUUCCCUCCCCUUCGGCAUCGCGGUCCGAUAAGCCAUCAACCACAUCCAUAUAGGCACUGCACGGGGCAGUAUGCCUUCAUUU